CCCUGUGGCUGCCGAGUUCUCGGGAACAGCGGCUCGGCCUGCAAGGCUGUUGUUUCAAGAAAUGAAAAUGAAGGGCGCCCUGGAAUAGGUUCGCCGAAGAGAGAGCUUGCAGGCCUCUGGGAAGCAAGCCAUCGUGUGGCAGAGGCCCAGGUGGCAAGGAACCAAGGGCGGCUUCUGGCCAACAGCCAGCGAGGACCUGAGACCGUAGCCCAACACCCCUCCAGGAACUGAAUUUUGCCAGCAACCAGUGAGUGACCUUGGAAGUGGAUCCUUCCCCCGAAAGCCCGGCUUUCAGCUCAGAGAAUGGAAAAAUAUCUCUUCCUAAAGACACAGAGAAACAUAAACAAACCUGACCAAUAGAAGGACCAAAACCUCUGCACAGUGCCUCACCCCUCGGAGGAAUUAACAAAAAUGUGAAGGUUAUUCGUUGAACCAAUAAUCUCUGAAAUUUUUGGAGUUCCAUGAAGCUUGCACCAACUAUUAUCCCUGAGAUGACCUUGGCUGUGGAACCCAGAUUCUGUUCAGGGCCGAGAGCGCCACCUGGUGAUUCCAGUUUGUAAACGGAGGCUGGUGGGACCUCAACCCCAGCUGGUAUCCAGGCUCUUGACACCAUCUGGAGAAGGAAUUCAAGAGUGUGUCAGAAAAUGAUGAAAGUACAAAGAUUUAUUGCAAAGCGAAAAAUACACACUCAAGAAAGGGGAGUAUGGGUGGACUCAAGACAGAGUCCGAUGGGACUUGGGGUUUCUACCUUUUGGGUUUCUUUUUUUUUUUUUUUUGAUAUGGAGUCUCGCACUGUUGCCCAGGCUGGAGCGCAGUGGCGUGAUUUUGGCUCACUGCAACCUCUGCCUCCCGGGUUAAAACGAUUCUCCUGCCUCAGCGUCCCAAGUAGCUGGGAUUACAGGCUCCCACCACCAUGCCCGGCUAAUUUUUGUAUUUUUAGUAGAGACGAGGCCUCACCAUAUUGGCCAGGCUGUUCUCGAACUCCGGACCUUAGGUGAUCUGCCUGCCUCAGCCUCCCAAAGUGCUGGGAUUACAGGCGUGAGCCACCAUGCCCAAUGGGUGUGGGAUUUAGUAUAUUAAUGAGUGUAUAAUGAGGUCCUUGGUGAAACCUACAUCAAAUCCAGCACCGUGUUGGGUCCAGUCUGUCUUAGCCAGCUUGGUCCACACCCUGGUUUUUUAGGGUCUUAUUGGCCCCUUACUUCUGCAGCAAAAGUUUCCUUUUGCUAGUCAUGUGAAACUGCCACCUGGAAUUUUCUAUUCUCUAGUGACCACCCUGUAUUAUUCCUGUCUCACUGGGACCCUAAGAAAUUGGGAAUUCCAACUACACAUCCAAAAUAGUUUGACUAAAACUGUUGAAAAAAGAAAAAAAUAAUGGCAUAAAGUAUUGCUUGACUAAAUUCCAGCCAGGUGCAUUGGCCACUUUAGGUCGGGUGUGGUGGCUCAUGCUUGUAAUCCCAGCAUUUUGGGAGGCUGAGGCGGGAGGAUCACUUGAGGUCAGGAGUUCCAAACCAGUCUGGCCAAAAUGGUAAAACCCCCUCUCUACUAAAAAUACAAAAAUUAGCCGGACCUGGUGGCGGAAGCCUGUAAUCCCAGCUACUCUGGAGGCUGAGGCACGAAAAUUGCUUGAACCCAGGAGGUGGAGGUUGCAUUGAACCAAGAUCAUACCACUGCACUCUAGCCUGUGUGACAGAGAAAGAUUCCGUCUCAAGAAACAAAAA
rnacentral:lncRNA from 1 species